AUUAUUUCAACGGUUAUUUCAAUAGUUAUAGAGAUUUAUAAUGGAAAAAAAAUGUAAAUACUGAACUUGUACAUAUAGAAUUUUCAAGAGAUUGAGAAAAUGUUCAGACGAUUUUUCUGAAAGAACAUUAUCGUUUAAAAAUCGAUAUUUUUCGUUUAACUUGGGCUACAAUGCUCAAAGACUGAUAUUAUUAAAUAUGAAUCAAUUGCAAUUGAUGGAAUAUCUUUAAAAUUCUGAGAAUAUUUUCCAA